rnacentral:rRNA from 1 species
UGGGGAAUUUUACGCAAUGGGGGAAACCCUGACGUAGCGACACCGCGUGAGCGAAGAAGCCCUUUGGGGUGUAAAGCUCUGGCAGCUGGAACGAAAACAAUGACGGUACCAGCAGAGGAAGCAUCGGCUAACUACGUGCCAGCAGCCGCGGUAAGACGUAGGAUGCGAGCGUUGUCCGGAUUUAUUGGGCGUAAAGAGUUCGUAGGUGGUUUGUUAAGUUUGGUGUUAAAGAUCGGGGCUCAACCCUGGGACUGCACUGAAUACUGGCAGACUCGAGUGUGGUAGAGGCUAGUGGAAUUCCCAGUGUAGCGGUGAAAUGCGUAGAUAUUGGGAAGAACACCGGUGGCGUAGGCGACUAGCUGGGCCAUAACUGACGCUGAGGAACGAAAGCCAGGGGAGCGAAUGGG